rnacentral:rRNA from 1 species
AUUGAACGCUGGCGGCAUGCCUUACACAUGCAAGUCGAACGGCAGCACGGGUGCUUGCACCUGGUGGCGAGUGGCGAACGGGUGAGUAAUACAUCGGAACAUGUCCUGUAGUGGGGGAUAGCCCGGCGAAAGCCGGAUUAAUACCGCAUACGAUCUACGGAUGAAAGCGGGGGACCUUCGGGCCUCGCGCUAUAGGGUUGGCCGAUGGCUGAUUAGCUAGUUGGGGGGGUAAAGGCCUACCAAGGCGACGAUCAGUAGCUGGUCUGAGAGGACGACCAGCCCCACUGGGACUGAGACACGGCCCAGACUCCUACGGGAGGCAGCAGUGGGGAAUUUUGGACAAUGGGCGAAAGCCUGAUCCAGCAAUGCCGCGUGUGUGAAGAAGGCCUUCGGGUUGUAAAGCACUUUUGUCCGGAAAGAAAUCCUUGGCCCUAAUACGGUCGGGGGAUGACGGUACCGGAAGAAUAAGCACCGGCUAACUACGUG